rnacentral:rRNA from 1 species
UGUCCCUACGGGAGGCAGCAGUGAGGAAUAUUGGUCAAUGGGCGAGAGCCUGAACCAGCCAAGUCGCGUGAGGGAAGACGGUCCUAUGGAUUGUAAACCUCUUUUGCCGGGGAGCAAAGAGCGGUACGUGUACCGCAUCGAGAGUACCCGGAGAAAAAGCAUCGGCUAACUCCGUGCCAGCAGCCGCGGUAAUACGGAGGAUGCGAGCGUUAUCCGGAUUUAUUGGGUUUAAAGGGUGCGCAGGCGGGCUGUUAAGCCGGCGGUAAAAAUUCAGGG